rnacentral:lncRNA from 1 species
CUCAAGGAUGGCAACCAUCGGUGAGCGUGCGUGGGAAUAGGAACUGAGGAGGCACAUUCUUUGUUUGCACUUUCAUCUGUUCGGUCGACAUGCGAGGUCCCUGGCGGCCCCCUCGUGGCCUCCGCCUUUCCAACUUCCCAGUUCGCACGCACACACGUCUAUUCAUCUCUUGCAUGUCCCAUCGGCCCCCAAAACCGCGUGCCUUCUCCUCCA